rnacentral:lncRNA from 1 species
CUUGGGAUUUUUUUAAAAAAGUCUAUCCCGAUGUUGGAAUUUUUUUUAUAAAAAAAAGUCUAUCCCAACUCUUGGGAUUUUUUUAAAAAAAAAGUCUAUCCCGAUGUUGGGAAAAAGUCUAUCCCAAUGUUGGGAAUAAAGUCUAUCCCAAUCCUUGGGAUUAAAAAGUCUAUCCCACUUCUUGGGAUUUUUUUUAAAAGUCUAUCCCACUUCUUGGGAUUUUUUUUAAAAGUCUAUCCCACUUCUUGGGAUUUUUUUUAAAAGUCUAUCCCACUUCUUGGGAUUUUUUUUUAAAAAAAAGUCUAUCCCAAUCCUUGGGAUUUUUUAAAAAGUCUAUCCCACUUCUUGGGAUUUUUUUAAAAAAAUCUAUCCCAAUGUUGGGAAAAAAGUCUAUCCCAAUCCUUGGGAUUUUUUAAAAAGUCUAUCCCACUUCUUGGGAUUUUUUUUAAAAAGUCUAUCCCAACUCUUGGGAUUUUUUUUUUUAAAAAAGUCUAUCCCAAUGUUGGGAAAAAAGUCUAUCCCAAUCCUUGGGAUUUUUAAAAAGUCUAUCCAACUUCUUGGGAUUUUUUUUAAAAAGUCUAUCCCAACUCUUGGGAUUUUUUAANNNNNNNNNNNNNNNNNNNNNNNNNNNNNNNNNNNNNNNNNNNNNNNNNNNNNNNNNNNNNNNNNNNNNNNNNNNNNNNNNNNNNNNNNNNNNNNNNNNNGUCUAUCCCAAUGUUGGGAAAAAAGUCUAUCCCAAUCCUUGGGAUUUUUAAAAAAAAAGUCAAUCUCACUUCUUGGGAUUUUUUAAAAAAGUCUAUCCCGAUGUUGGGAUAUUUUUUUUUUAAAAGUCUAUCCCAAUGUUGGGAAUAAAGUCUAUCCCAAUCCUUGGGAUUUUUUUAAAAAAAGUCUAUCCCACUUCUUGGGAUUUUUAAAAAAGUCUAUCCCGAUUUUGGGAUUUUGAAAAGUCUAUCCCAAUGUUGGGAAUAAAGUCUAUCCCAAUCCUUCAGAUUUUUUUUUAAAAGUCUAUCCCAACUCUUGGGAUUUUUUAAAAAAGUGUAUCCCGAUGUUGGGAUUUAAAAAAGUCUAUCCCAAUGUUGGGAAUAAAGUCUAUCCCAAUCCUUGAGAUUUUUUAAAAAAGUCUAUCCCAACUUUUGGGAUUUUUUUAAAAAAAAAGUCUAUCCCGAUGUUGGGAAAAAGUCUAUCCCAAUGUUGGGAAUAAAACUAUCCCAAUGUUGGGAAUAAAGUCUAUCCCAAUCCUUGGGAUUAAAAAGUCUAUCCCACUUCUUGGGAUUUUUUUUUUUUAAAAAGUCUAUCCCAAUGUUGGGAAAAAAGACUAUCCCGAUCCUUCGGAUUUUUUAAAAAGUCUAUCCCACUUCUUGGGAUUUUUUAAAAAGUCUAUCCCACUUCUUGGGAAUUUUUUUUAAAAAGUCUAUCUCAAUGUUGGGAAAAAUGUCUAUCCCAAUCCUUGGGAUUUUUUAAAAAGUCUAUCCCACUUCUUGGGAUUUUUUUUAAAAAGUCUAUCCCAACUCUUGGGAUUUUUUUUAAAAAGUCUAUCCCAACUCUUGGGAUUUUUUUUUUUUAAAAGUCUAUCCCAAUGUUGGGAAAAAAGUCUAUCCCAAUCCUUGGGAUUUUUAAAAAGUCUAUCCCACUUCUUGGGAUUUUUUUUAAAAAAGUCUAUCCCAACUCUUGGGAUUUUUUAAAAAGUACCUAUCCCACUUCUUGGGAUUUUUUUUAAAAAGUCUAUCCCAAUGUUGGGAAAAAAGUCUAUCCCAAUCCUUGGGAUUUUUAAAAAGUCUAUCCCACUUCUUGGGAUUUUUUUUUUAAAAAGUCUAUCCCGAUGUUGGGAAAAAGUCUAUCCCACUUCUUGGGAUUAAGGUCCUUGAGGGAUCGACUUUUAUCCUUGAGAGAGAAAAAGUCGAUCUUCAAAAAGUCGAUCCCUAGUGCACUUGGAGGAUUCCUUGGAAGUCGAUGCCUGAAAGCCUGGCUCCUUGAGGGAUCGACUUUUUUCCUUGGAAGAAAAAGUCGAUCUUCUGAAAAGUUGAUCCCUUGUUGGCUGAUUUCCUCGCAAGACUCCCUAGCUGGCGACUUGGGAAAAAAGUCGAUCACUUUUUUCGAAAAAGUCGAGGAGCUUUUUUCGUGAGUAUCUUUGAAUCACAGACGGCGCCAACUGAUGGGGGUGAAACCCGACAAGUACUCCAAGACGCGCAAGCAAGCGCCAAGCGGGGAACUCCGUGGGAAACCGGACCGGAACUCAAGUGCGCAGAGCUCUGCUUCGCUAGGAAUCCUUUCGCUCCAAAUUACCUGCCUUUAAUGAGUGGGGGGUGCCCUCUAUUUAUAGGGGUUCUUAUGGGGGUAAUAUGGUCAUUUGGGCAGUAACUGCCUAACUGCCCAACUGAUCAGGUUGGGUCCAGGGGUCGACUUUCCAGAGA